GAUCCAGCCGAGAACGAAGUAGCACAGGUGAACGUAGCCUAUCAAAGACCCAUAAAUGACUCCUAUGUACCAACAUACAAUCCAAGAUGGAGGAACCACCCCAAUUUUUCUUGAUCACCAGGGUCAAACUCAAUUAGACCUGCUUUCACUCAACCCAACCCCAGAUCCACUCAAUCAUCAAAUACCCCAUCAGGUUUCAGCAAUGAUCAAAGACU
rnacentral:lncRNA from 1 species